rnacentral:lncRNA from 1 species
CAGGAAUUGAACCCAGGGAGCGCCUAACCACUCAGCCACAUCCCCAGCAGUUUUUUAUUUUAUUAGAGACAGGGUUUCACUGAGUUGCUUAGGGCCUCGAUAAGUUUCUGAGACUGACUUUGAACUCGUGAUCCUCCUGCCUCCGCCUCUGGAGUCACUGGGAUUACAGGCAUGUACCACUUCUCCAGGCCAGAAGUGGGUUUUUUUAAAAAGGUAAAUGUUUUUUAAAAAGCCGAAGAGAGAUGGCCUCAGAGAGGCUAAAGAUUUUCCCCAAUCCUUUUAUAGCAUGUAUUAAACUGAAUAGUGUCACCCUAAAAUUUAUGUAUUUAGACACAGGGCCUUUAAAGAGAAAAUUUAGUUUAUUAAAAUAUUUUUUAGUUGUCAUUGGAUACAUUUAUUUUAUUUAUUUAUGGUUAUGUGGUGCUGAGGAUCGAACCCAGGGCCUCACAUGUGCUAGGUGAGCCCUCUACUGCUGAGACACAACCCCAGUCUGAGUUUGUUUUGAGACAGUAUCUCACUAAGUUGCUGAGGUCAGCCUCAAAUUUGCAAUCCUCCUGCCUCGGCCUCCUGAGUCACUGGGAUUAAAGCUCUGUGCCACCAUGCUGCUCUGAGGAAAUUGCUUA